rnacentral:rRNA from 1 species
UACAGAGAGUGCGAACGUUGUUCGGAAUUACUGGGCGUAAAGCGUGCGCAGGCGGUUUUGUAAGUCUGUCGUGAAAGCCCCGGGCUCAACCUGGGAAUUGCGAUGGAGACUGCAAGGCUUGAAUCUGGCAGAGGGGGGUAGAAUUCCACGUGUAGCAGUGAAAUGCGUAGAGAUGUGGAGGAACACCGAUGGCGAAGGCAGCCCCCUGGGUCAAGAUUGACGCUCAUGCACGAAAGCGUGGGGAGCAAACAGG